rnacentral:rRNA from 1 species
UACGAAGGGGGCUAGCGUUGCUCGGAAUCACUGGGCGUAAAGGGCGCGUAGGCGGACUCUUAAGUCAGGGGUGAAAGCCUGAGGCUCAACCUCAGAACUGCCUUUGAUACUGAGAGUCUCGAGACCGGUAGAGGUAAGUGGAACUGCGAGUGUAGAGGUGAAAUUCGUAGAUAUUCGCAAGAACACCAGUGGCGAAGGCGGCUCACUGGCCCGAUACUGACGCUGAGGCACGAAAGCGUGGGGAGCAAACAGGG